UACGUAGGACCAAGCGUUGUUCGGAUUUACUGGGCGUAAAGGGCGCGUAGGCGGCAAUUCAAGUCAGUUGUGAAAUCUCCGAGCUUAACUCGGAACGGUCAACUGAUACUGCUUUGCUAGAGUACAGAAGGGGCAAUCGGAAUUCUUGGUGUAGCGGUGAAAUGCGUAGAUAUCAAGAGGAACACCUGAGGUGAAGACGGGUUGCUGGGCUGAUGACUGACGCUGAGGCGCGAAAGCUAGGGUAGCAAACGGG
rnacentral:rRNA from 1 species